rnacentral:rRNA from 1 species
GACGUAGGGCGCGAUCGUUGUCCGGAAUUAUUGGGCGUAAAGAGCUCGUAGGCGGUGUGUCACGUCGGCCGUGAAAACCUGCAGCUUAACUGUGGGCGUGCGGUCGAUACGGGCAUCACUGGAGUUCGGCAGGGGAGACUGGAAUUCCUGGUGUAGCGGUGAAAUGCGCAGAUAUCAGGAGGAACACCGGUGGCGAAGGCGGGUCUCUGGGCCGAUACUGACGCUGAGGAGCGAAAGCGUGGGGAGCAAACAGG